AGUGAACGCUGGCGGUAGGCCUAACACAUGCAAGUCGAACGGCAGCACAGUAAGAGCUUGCUCUUACGGGUGGCGAGUGGCGGACGGGUGAGGAAUACAUCGGAAUCUACUUUUUCGUGGGGGAUAACGUAGGGAAACUUACGCUAAUACCGCAUACGACCUACGGGUGAAAGCAGGGGAUCUUCGGACCUUGCGCGAUUGAAUGAGCCGAUGUCGGAUUGGCUAGUUGGCGGGGUAAAGGCCCACCAAGGCGACGAUCCGUAGCUGGUCUGAGAGGAUGAUCAGCCACACUGGAACUGAGACACGGUCCAGACUCCUACGGGAGGCAGCAGUGGGGAAUAUUGGACAAUGGGCGCAAGCCUGAUCCAGCCAUACCGCGUGGGUGAAGAAGGCCUUCGGGUUGUAAAGCCCUUUUGUUUGGAAAGAAAAGCAGCAGGUUAAUACCCCGCUGUUCUGACGGUACCCAAAGAAUAAGCACCGGCUAACUUCGUG
rnacentral:rRNA from 1 species